rnacentral:rRNA from 1 species
UACGUAGGGGUCUAGCGUUGUCCGGAAUCAUUGGGCGUAAAGAGCUCGUAGGCGGUUCGGCAAGUCGGAUGUGAAAUCUCCACGCUCAACGUGGAGGGGCCAUUCGAAACUGCCGUGACUCGAGUCCGGUAGGGGAGUGCGGAAUUCCCGGUGUAGCGGUGAAAUGCGCAGAUAUCGGGAAGAACACCCGUGGCGAAGGCGGCUCUCUGGGACGGUACUGACGCUGAGACGCGAAAGCGUGGGGAGCGAACAGG